CCAACACGUUUGCGGUGUGCACAGAGCACCGUGGUAUCCUGCUGCAGGCCAACAGUGACAAGGACAUGCAUGACUGGCUGUACGCCUUCAACCCCCUCCUGGCGGGGACCAUCCGGUACGGCUGUGCCCGGGCCCCGCCAGCCAGCACCUCCGGGGCGCUAGGCAGGGCCGAGCUGCUUCUGGAUCCUGUGGGGGUCCGAGGGGGUGGGCCUGCACUAACUGGGUGGGCCUUGAUGUGUGGCGGUGUGCGCACACAGUCCUCCACGUCACAGACGAGGGCCUGGCGGGUGUGGGAGGGCUGAGGCAGCACCAGGCCUCACCCGCUCAGUGCCAGGGCCUGAGCGUCUGGUGGUCCUGGGGCUGCCCUUACGCCAGGGGCUUGACGGACGCGGCCGGGGGGUCAGUCCCAGCGUGACACCCCUUUCUCCUCCCUCUGCAGGUCCAAGCUCUCCCGGAGGAGGUCUGCACNGCAGGCUCAGUCCCCUCCCAAGCGAGGCUGGUCUGGUGCCUCACUCCCGCAGCCUCCCAAGGGUGCCCUGCACCAGGUCAGGCGGGCCUUCUGCCUGGCCCACGGCCUUCACCCAGCAGCCUCCUGCUGACCACAUGCCACAGAGGCUGUGGAGGGGCACCUGGAGCUGGCCCCACACCUGGAACCCACCUGGGUCAGCGCAGAUCUGAAGCUCUGGGAGGGGCAGGCCGGGGUGUGAGGGGCUGGGAGAGGGGGGGUCUCCAGGGCAGGGGGCACCUGAGCUGAGGCUGGGGCGAAUCGGGAGGUGGUGUCCCCAGCAGAAGGCAGGAUGCAGCCAGAAGGCCCAGAGGCCCUGAGGAGGGCUUCUCUGCCUCAGCUCUCUGAGAUGUCCGUCACCCUGCUGCGGGACCCGUCCAUGUCGCCUCUGGGAGCAGCCACGCUCACCCCGUCCUCCACCUGCCCCUCUCUGGUUGAAGGUCGCUACGGUGCCACCGACAUGCGGUGAGUGAGCCCUGGGCUCCUGGAGAGGCUUCCGUACCCCAAGCUGGGACUCGGGCAUAAGGACAGAGAAAGUGGGCAGGGAUGACGGAGGGCCUGGGGUGUCACAGGUGGGGGCAGGGCCUGCUGGAGAGGGCGUGGUGGCCUCUCCAGGGGUGCAUGGUGCCCCCUGUGUGGCUUGGCUCCACAUGGCCUCCAAGCGCACGUACCAAAGCACAUCCACAAGGGAGUCAGAACAGAGCUCCGCAAGUGCUCGUGGGGAGAGCCGUGUGCCCAGCACCCUGAGCACUGCCAGGCAGCCUGCGGCACAGCGUCCAGGAGGAGCCCCUGCCCGGCUCACUCCACUGAUGGCGGAUUCAAGGGAGUUUGACUCCUGUUUGAAACGCCUCUGGGUUCCCAGAUUUUCUUUACCAAAAAAAAAGGGAGGGGAGAGGGUCUCGACCCCACACCUCUGAGACAGGCUUCACACAGCCUGCUGGGCUCCUGGCUCCCGUUGUCACCUUGGUCCCUCUGAGGGGAUGGGCCCAGGAGACAGGCGUGGGCCUGGCGAGGAGCCCUGGCAGCACACAGUGUGUCUCCCUGCUUUCCAGGACCCCGCAGCCCUGUUCCCGGCCAGCCAGCCCAGAGCCAGAGCCAGUGCCAGAGGCAGACUCCAAGAAGCCCCUGUCCCCUGCGCGGGCCACAGAGGCCGAUAAGGAGCCCCAGCGCCUCCUGGUCCCCGACAUCCAGGAAAUCCGAGUCAGGUAUGUAGGGCCCCACAUGAAGCUGCCCACCACAGGCAGUGCCCCUUACCCGAGCACAGGGCAGAGCCAGGGGCCAGGCCUCAGGCACACACCCUCCCCCACGUGCAGGACAGUUCUGAACCAGGUCAGGCAGACCCCUUGACCCAGACUGGGGACCACUUUGUUCUAGAGGGGUCACCCCACCCCCGAUGGUCCUGGUGCUGCUGUGGCAACAUGCAGACGGGGGGCGGGGGUCCGAGCCAGAGCGGGGCCUAGUGUCACCGGGCCGUGAUUGGCAGCUCCAGGGCUGUGUCUGCUCUUCAAGUCUCUCCAUCCCCAGCUGGGAUGUCCUCUGAGCCCCCAGAAAUGGGCCAGAGGUGGGCUAGUGGGUCUGGACUCCGGCCUCUGGCCCGCUUUCUCCUGGGCAAUGACCAGUACUGUGGGCCUGGCUCUGGGUGGGGGGCCGUGACUUCUGCCUUUGCCCGCACCACACCUGGCUGCCGGGACGUGAGCCAGCAGAUGCCCUGCCCCACAGCCCGAUCGUGUCCAAGAAGGGGUACCUGCACUUCCUGGAGCCGCACACAGCCGGCUGGGCCAAGCGCUUCGUGGUGGUACGACGCCCCUACGCCUACAUGUACAACAGUGACAAGGACACGGUGGAGAGAUUUGUGCUCAACCUCUCCACGGCCCAGGUGGAGUACAGCGAGGACCAGCAGGCCAUGCUCAAGGUACGCCCGGUCCCCGGGCCUGGGGCCCCCACAGGGCGGGGACAGUGGGGAGGAACCGGGCCAGGCCUCUGUGCCCCACAUGGGCUGGGUGGCACCUCUGUGCCCUGCCCAGGCUGCGGCACUGUGUCCUGUGCACAGAGAUGGGACCUGGGGCUCAGCCCUGCUGCAGCUCAGUCCUGGUGACCACUGUUGGUGAUGAGUGUGGUCCUAGGGCAGGGCAGAUAUGGCCAGUGGCCCGUCCUGUCCUCCUGGGGAACCUGUGGCACGUGGCCCCCUCCCUCCCCGAGUGUGGCCUUCUGGACACAUAGGAGCAGGCUCCCUGGGGCCUAGUGGGAAGAGAAGUCCUCUGAGCCCAGGAGCUGUGGAGUGGCCUCCUCUGUAGGAGGGGCAGCAGGAACUCAGUCCACCGCCCACACCCUGCACACAGGCCAGCAGGGCCACUCAGCCACGGCCACUGGAGGGGCAGACGCUUCCCCUGGGUGCAGAGCAGGGUGGGGCCCAGGCCCAGGACAGAGCUUCCUGACCGAAGAGGCUUCUGGAAGGGAGCCGGAGCACCGCGGGUCGGGAUAGGCCAUGUGCUCUGCAGAGGGGUCGCCCUGCCUCCCCACGAGGUUUGGCCUGCGGCUCCCCGAGCCCCACCUCAGAGUCCCCAGGUUCCUUCUCAGGAGUGGUGGGUGCCGGCCCGCUCCUUCUUACCACAGCCUCCUUUGCAGACGCCCAACACGUUUGCGGUGUGCACAGAGCACCGUGGUAUCCUGCUGCAGGCCAACAGUGACAAGGACAUGCAUGACUGGCUGUACGCCUUCAACCCCCUCCUGGCGGGGACCAUCCGGUACGGCUGUGCCCGGGCCCCGCCAGCCAGCACCUCCGGGGCGCUAGGCAGGGCCGAGCUGCUUCUGGAUCCUGUGGGGGUCCGAGGGGGUGGGCCUGCACUAACUGGGUGGGCCUUGAUGUGUGGCGGUGUGCGCACACAGUCCUCCACGUCACAGACGAGGGCCUGGCGGGUGUGGGAGGGCUGAGGCAGCACCAGGCCUCACCCGCUCAGUGCCAGGGCCUGAGCGUCUGGUGGUCCUGGGGCUGCCCUUACGCCAGGGGCUUGACGGACGCGGCCGGGGGGUCAGUCCCAGCGUGACACCCCUUUCUCCUCCCUCUGCAGGUCCAAGCUCUCCCGGAGGAGGUCUGCACAGAUGAGGGUCUGAGCCAGAGCCCCCCACCAGCCAGCACCCGGCUGUCCCUCGCCCCGUCCCCGUCUGUCCUGUCCUGGCUGCCUAGCCUUCCCCUGCCAGGGAGUGCCGGGCCCGGGCCUAGGGCCAGCUGUGCCCCAGGGAAGCCUGCCCGAGUCCUUCUUUCUUCCUCCUCAGCUGCUCUGGGUGGGGAGAGCUGGGGAUCUGAGGGAGGCCAGAGGGCACAAGACCCCGUGUUGCCGCCACUCUAAUAUUUUUUUAAGCAUAGACAGACUUAUAAUUAAUAUACAGUAGUUAGUGACGUUGAGACAGUCCUGAGAAAUUAACUGUAACUGUGUUCUAUUUAUGAUAUUUAUUUCUAAUGCCUCCGAGUAGACCUGCAAGACCCAGCGGCCACCCUCCCUGUUUGUUCCCUCUGCAUCUCCAGCCUUCGGGCAGAGCGGGGGAAGAGGAGUUUGGACGUGGGACCCUCGGUUGGCACACAGGCACACCUGGGCCAGGUUUCCCUGAGCCUCCUCCAGGUGUGUGGGGUCUCCAGGUGCUAAGGUGGUGCCAGCAGGAUUGAGAGGGUGAGCGGACCUGAGCUGGGACCAUGGGGGGCCAGGAGGGAGGAGGCCAGGGUGUCCAUGGCGCCCAGGCUCACCAGUUGUGUCCAGACUGUCGGGGCCGGUGGCUGGGUUCAGACACAGGGCUCUUGGGCAGCAGGCAAGGUCAGCAUUCAGGGUGUGGGUCCCGGCCUCCAGGGCCUCCCUGGUGCUGUGAGGACGCAGAGCCCCAGGCUGCUCUGGGAGGAAGUUCUGUGAUUGGAAGCUCCUCACACACACCCUCCUCUCCACCCCAGGGAGCAGACUCCAUGCACGGGGCAUGUCUUGGCAGGUGGGUGAGGGCAGAUACCAGGCUGUCUUGGCUGUCCAGGGUUCUUCUGCACCUGGGGAAUUCCCACUCACAGGCCAUUUGGAAAAUCAGAAACCAAACUGCAAGUCCCCUAACCCUACGGCCCACCUGGACCAGGCUGCUGUUGGGGCUGGGCACCUUCCACCCCCUUGCCAGCUCCUGCUGCUUGGUUCAGAUGAGCCGGGGGCUCGGAGGUUCCCCAUCAGCCCAGGUGGUCCCUGAAUGGCACUACCCUGACUUGUGAGCUCAAGCCACUCUCGGAGGAAGAGACUAGGUGUGUGGGUCUCUUUCAUGCUGACAAACAAGUUCAGGUCUUCCUUGGGGAAACCGUCCAGGCCUCUGGACCCUCACCCCAGACCGCAGGGCUCAGGGUGAGUGGUAUUGUGGAAGCAGGAUCUGAGCCUGCAGCCAGCACAAGACCAGAUGCAAGCUCCGACGGGGAGCUCGUCCUCCCACCAGGCUCCGCUGCAGCAGGGGUGGCUGCCUCGUCCCCAGGGCCCGGGGCCUCUGUCGGAGCGUCAGGUCUUAGGAAACCACAGCUGUGCAGUGGGGGCCACGCAGCGCUUUCUUUAGAGGGCUCCUUGAGGACAGUGCCGUCCCAGACUGAAGUAAACCUUGUGCAGAAACCAGGUGACCGCCCUGUGGACCGUGGGGGCAGUGGGCUGAGACACAGCAUCCAGAUGGCACUCACUCUGGUACCCGUGACCCCCUCGAGGCAGGGAGGGUGGGACAGAGCACCUUGCUCUGAGUUGAGUUGGAUUUCAAGGCCACACCCUUCACAGCAGGCUAGAGGCCAGGCCCACCACGGCCACUCAGGUCAGCCAGCCUGAAGCCGUGGCCUCGGAAAGGUCUGGGCCGCCCACCAGCGGGUGUCUGAGGCCAGCCAACCUGCAGAGCACCUGCUGUCUGGGGUCAGGCUGAGGGAAAGGCCAGGAGCCUGGAGCCCUCUGCAUUCAGAAGACCCCCCCCCCCCCAUGAAGGCCUGGGCGGUGCCAUUUUGGCAUCGGCUGGCACUGAGAUGGGCCCCUGCCCUGUGGGCCGUCCAGAGUCAGUCUGCAGAAACAGGAGAGGCCAAGGGCAGUGCGUCCACAAGGUGGGAAGCCUGGUUUCUGUUUGCCCACCCUGCCCGAAACCACCCACGUACCCAGCCAGCUGAGGACAGUUGCCCCCACCCCUGGAAUGCUGUGUCCACAUCUGUGCCGUGGAGAGACCCUUGGGGUCUUCCCAUCCUGUGACGCGGAGGGGAGCGCCUGGUCUGGCUGUGGCCCCCAUUUCUUGCUGGUACGGAGGUGAGAGGUCGAGACAGCCAUCUCUCCUGGUGGUUUGGUUCUGAGGCUUAAUACUGCCCAGCUCUGGCCUUGCUUUGGCCUGGGGGAUGCCGGCUCCUGGGGUCCUGUGGGGUUGAGAAGCCCAAGGCCUCCUGCUAAGUGGUCCUGCCAGCAUAGCUGCCGAGAGUGGCCUUCCACAUCCAUCCUGGUCCCUAGAGCCUGGGGCACCUGGGGGUCCUGAACGUGGUCAGGGGUACUGCGAGCGGGGUUGUGGUGCUGGUCCCGUGCCAGCUCGGCCAGGUCUGGGGCCCCAGAAGGCAUCCUCCUUUACCCCUGCAGCCCCAGGUUGGACACAGGCUGUGACGGCCCCCGUCUCUCCCCGGGUUGUGCUUCCUGUAGUUGGUCUGUUCUGAGUGCCCCUGCAGCUUGGAGGCUGCAUCCCUGGCUUGUACAUAUGUGAUUGCUGUGGGACCCUGUGUCAUCUCCACUACCCCGAUGUAGCGACUCUCCCCACGUCUUACCCGAGUGUUAGCUCUAGGCCCCUGUACUGUGUGUGCAUCACGGCUGUGUCCAAGUAAGAAAUAAACGUGGCUCUACGCAACCCAUA
rnacentral:lncRNA from 1 species